CUCCGUCCCUUGGCAUCUCUCCCUGUAAUUAGUCUAUCUGUUUCUGAUUUAUUUAUUUUCAGGCAGUCUUCUGCACCCUUGCUCCCUCACUUGGGCGCAUGGGGCAAGCCACAAACUUGCCCUUAAACUACGCAGAAAAGAAAAAUCAGAAACAGACUAACCACAUGAGUCAAUAGCAGGGGACAGAAAACAGAUGACUGGAUACCGAAUUUCCCUUCAGAGAUCCAUCUGUCUUGAACUGUGAGGUAACCAGGCUCACGUACCACAUCUGCAAAGCGGGUAACGCAUCCUUCUGCAUAACCUGACUCGCGGAGUGAAACUAUGCUCACACAGAGAAACCAAGACAUGUUUAAAAACCAUUUCUAGGCAAGGAACAAAAGUUUGGUCUGUGUUCACAUAGCCAGAGCAAUCACUUUCUAGUCUAAAGUGACUCCGCUCAGUGUUAUUGUGGCCUCCUAGAAUUUAGGCUUGAAUUUGGCAGAAGUCUAGAAGCGAAGGAAUAUGCAGAACCACUUAGGAGAAUCAAAGUUUCAGUGNNNNNNNNNNNNNNNNNNNNNNNNNNNNNNNNNNNNNNAGUGGCAGUAUAAGAUGGCAAUCAGACAUUUCCUACAAAUAAACACAGCUGGAUAAUGACCUAUACCUCCCUAUGCCAUUAAAAUACAUUUAUUCUAUUCCAUAACUGUUCCUUGUUUGUCUCCCAAGAGCAGCACCCUUGCCUGAGAAGGAUUAUCGAGACACUAAUCAAAAAUAGACAAGCAGUGCAAAAAACGAGGUCCAAGCAGAUGUGUAUAAAUAGCUUCCUGUGCAUCCGAAAUGCGAGCGCUGUCUGAAAAGAUUGUGAUUCGAGUCGAUAGACUUGAUCUAGCCACGCAGACAGGGUAUACAGCUGUCAUUCCUGUACUGCACACAAAAUUUAUACCCUGUGGUUCUGCAGCCCUUCAGCAGGUGAAUGAUACGAAGUUGUUGUUCAUAUGAUAGAUCAGACACCAGAGAAAGCCUCCAGACAGAACCUCUGCUCGCUUCCGGCCAGGACGAAUCAAUCUUUCCUUCGUUUGGAAUCGGCAGAAAUACAGAUGCAAAAGCAGGACGUGGACAAAUGACAGAAGAUAAGGUAUUGCAUCGGCAAGCAGAACAUCCUGUCUUCGAGAUGGGCUUCCUGAGGUUCAUGCCCUUCAGUACUGCCUGUUGACCUCUCUUUCAAAUACAGGACUCCGAGGGAUCACCACAAUGGCCAAACCACUCUGGACCUACACGGUUGUGAAAACACUAGCCAUGCCCCCAUCAGAGUUGACAGUGAUGCAUUUUUUUCACUGACAAAUUAUAUUCUGCUGAGAAUGGGACUUUUUGCAGGUACUUACCUGUUCUUGUGAAGCUGCUACCUGAGAAGGGUUCUCAUGUCCAGGAUGAGACUCAAAAUACACCAAAGAGGAAGAAAACUGUCACAUCUCCCAGCCAAUCAUCCUGUGAUCAAGACUGGUGACAUGGAAGUCCAGACUUCAAGUUUCUGUUCUGCAAGAUGUCUGAGGGUCAGAAUCCUGCAUCUCAGGCAAGCUUUCUGGCCACCAAGCUAUCAGUUAUUCUGAAGAACAGCUUCCUCAGUCUCUCCUGUUGGACCAGUAUCAAUAAUUAAACAUUAAUUGGAACAAGGACUUGAAUUUAGACUGCCCACUGGAGUAUCGUAUUAGUCUUUCUGCGGGCCAAUGAGCAUGCAACUGUUUGUACAAAGGGAAUAAGCUGCAGAGCAACAGAAGCAGCUCAGGGAUCCCACAAACUCAAAAAAAGCCUUGUUAAGUCCUUGACUGGAACGAGGCAGAACAAGGGCUACUAGCUGUUCUAGGGAGGGCUUUGUCAAAUCAACUCAAAAGGGUCAUGUUUCCAUCCAUUUUGGAAAGAGAUAUUACUUUAAAGUCAAACAUUUUUGAAAAAUAAUUCCUGUAGCUAUAUGAUCCUCUAACAAAUCCUCUGCAUUAAAAGAACUAUUUUAAGUGUCUUUGGCAUCAUGAUAGCCUGAUUCUGACAGUCUCGGAAACAUCUGCCUCGCACAUGAAGAAGGACCUCACUGUUCCAGGUCCGAGUCUAGUGAGUCGUUCCUCUGACAUUCCUCCCAGCUUUGCUGCCGUUCUUAAAAUGAAGGCCUAUGUUUAUUACUUACCUAUUAUCUUUGUAUGACAAGUAUGACAUUCAGUCAUACAGACUAAUACAUGUCACACAGACAUAUUUGGUCAUAUAGAAAAAUAAAUUGAGGUAAUCACAAAAGUUCA
rnacentral:lncRNA from 1 species